GCCUCCGCGAAGCUGGUUGGUUCCCCAGGAACGCGCCACCCAUUGGGUGUGAGACCUGUAGGCGUGUCAUCAGUGUCCUGACAGAAGCGCCUGACCCAGGAUUUGUCUUCUCAGCCUCAGGGUUAGAGGCUUCUGAGAUUGUCCAAGUGGAUUGUCGUUGUCUCAGCACAGGAGACCCCCUUGUCCACUGAAGAGAGACCCCUGUGCAGACCACAGACAGCAGGGCACUGAUCGCUGUCUCCACUGCACUUCUCUGUGUCUGCACGUCCAAGAGAAUGUGAAUCCAUGACGGCAGAGGAAAGACAUGGUACAAGAACAGUGUAAGCUCACACAUCUAUCUGCAUACCAAAGGAGAGACACUGGGAACAGUGGGAGUCGCUCCUCCCCACCCUCCCAUCAGUGCUUCAUUGGCUUGCUCUCUCAUGAGGUCACAGCUCAGUGGGUCAGCCAUGUCCCUGCACUCACACUGGUCCUUGCUGUCUUCUGAGAGCACUGUCAGAAAGCACAGGUGUCGAUCACACGUUGGCUUGUUCCAGUGGCAGUCGAGAGUUGUAGGCGUAGGACACAGUGUUCAAGGCGUCCUUGUAACGGUCCAUGCAUAUGGUGAUGCAUUCCUGCUCAGAGUUGUCCAAGGAGCCCCAGGCUUCCUGAUGCACUUCCUGAAACGCCUGUCAGUCAUCUUGAGCAGCUCCUGCUCAUGCGCAAUGGCGGUCUGCACGUUCACCUGCUCUAUAAUGGUCCCUGGUCCAGCUUUCCGCAACCUACGCCAUUAAAGUCCAGCCAGACCACAGGCACAGCCAAACGCAGGUGCCUGGAGCCUGGAAAUGUUUAAAACCUCAAUGCCCAGCCCAGUGACACUUCUCCAACCAAGCCACACCUCCAAUCUUUCUCAAGAGUUCCAUCUGCUGGAUAUGAAGGAUUCAUUCCUAUGAGCCCGUGUGGCUGUUCUCAUUCAAACCAGCAUAGCGUUCACUAUGAAAUGGAAGAGACCAGCAGGGUUCUGCAGAUGUGUCCAGUGCAAUCUGACAGAGAUACCCUCCAACAGGGGACUCUGCGGAGUUAGGUCUCCCCCUUUGCCUCUGUCCCCUCCUGCUCAGCCCCUCUCUGUCUCUGUCCUCAGGCCUCUCCCCAUCAGUGCCCAGCUCCCCUCCCUCCUGAGCUAUGCACUGACACUGUCUCUUCCUGGGCCUCUAGUUUCUCUCAUGUGCUCAGCAGCAGGCUGUGGAUCAGCUGUGUGGUUUUGAUGUGAACAUUCCAGUGGUGGCUGGAGAGAUGGCUCAGAGCUGAGAGCACGUGUUCCUUGUUGGGAGCCGCCCCACAUUCGCUGUCACAA